rnacentral:rRNA from 1 species
GACGAACGCUGGCGGCGUGCUUAACACAUGCAAGUCGAACGGAAAGGCCCCUUUGGGGGUACUCGAGUGGCGAACGGGUGAGUAACACGUGAGUAACCUGCCCUUGACUUCGGGAUAACUUCAGGCAACUGGGGCUAAUACCGGCUAGGAAUCCUUGCUGCAUGGUGGGGGUUGGAAAGCUUCGGCGGUUUUGGAUGGACUCGCGGCUUAUCAGCUUGUUGGUGGGGUAGUGGCUUACCAAGGCUUUGACGGGUAGCCGGCCUGGGAGGGCGACCGGCCACAUUGGGACUGGGAUACGGGCCAGACUCCUACGGGAGGCAGCAGUGGGGAAUAUUGCACAAUGGGCGGGAGCCUGAUGCAGCAACGCCGCGGGCGGGAUGAAGGCCUUCGGGUUGUAAACCGGUUUCAGCAGGGGAGAAGCUUGUGGUGACGGUACCUGCAGAAGAAGCACCGGCUAACUACGUG